rnacentral:tRNA from 1 species
CCCUUGGUAGCUCAGUUGGAAGAGCGUAAGACUGCAAUUGGAUGUCUGCAAAUAAUUUCAAAUUCCAAGGUCAAUAGUUCGAACCUGUUUCGAAGGA